rnacentral:lncRNA from 1 species
GUCACUCUAUCAGAAUGUCAACGGCAUAGUUGGGGUUAAGCCACUUAUUCAUGAAGGCAAGUGUAUGCACAACAAGGAAUCUCUAAUCCUCGAUAAGAGAGGAAGAAUACUCUAAGAUAUGAUUCGGGAAUCUUCGGCCGAAGUAUCGAGCGUAAUAAAGGAAAGCGUUCCUAUACGACUCAAUUGAAUCAUAUAAGAAGGAAUAAUCACAUUAGGAGUUUGACAUAAUAUAUCCAUACCCUAAUGGUGUGAUUGAGAGUAUUGUUUUAGAGAAGGAUUGAAUUACAUUGUAAUUCCAACUGAAUAGGUUCUCCGAAUAAACUUCUACAUUAGCUUGGGUAGCUAUGACAUAUGGUUAGAUGUCACUCAUAUCUUGUGAGUUCUUCUAGAUGAUUAAAUGUAGUCAUCAAAGAAGAAAGGUGAAUUAAAAUGAAGUUUUAAUUCACUAAGUGAUUGAAUUAAAUAUAAUCAAUUGGAUUGAUGCCAAUCACCUCACUGCCUUGCUAAUUAGAACCUAAAAGAUUGUUCACCAAUACACUAUUUGUUGGAAAUGUGCCCUAAAACCAAUCAUAUGAUGAUACUUUACGGACAUUUCGCAUGUUAAACUAAUCUAGU